UACGAAGGGGACUAGCGUUGUUCGUAUUUACUGGGCGUAAAGCGCGCGUAGGCGGAUCGCUAAGUCAGGGGUGAAAUCCCAGGGCUCAACCCUGGAACUGCCUUUGAUACUGACGAUCUGGAGAUCGGGAGAGGUUGGUGGAAUUCCGAGUGUAGAGGUGAAAUUCGUAGAUAUUCGGAGGAACACCAGAAGCGAAGGCGGCCAACUGGCCCGAUACUGACGCUGAGGCGCGAAAGCGUGGGGAGCAAACAGG
rnacentral:rRNA from 1 species